rnacentral:rRNA from 1 species
CACGUAGGGCGCAAGCGUUGUCCGGAAUUAUUGGGCGUAAAGAGCUCGUAGGCGGUCUGUUGCGUCCGCUGUGAAAACUCGGGGCUUAACCCCGAGCCUGCAGUGGAUACGGGCAGACUAGAGGUAGGUAGGGGAGAAUGGAAUUCCCGGUGUAGCGGUGAAAUGCGCAGAUAUCGGGAGGAACACCGGUGGCGAAGGCGGUUCUCUGGGCCUUACCUGACGCUCAGGCACGAAAGCAUGGGGAUCAAACAGG